rnacentral:rRNA from 1 species
CAAAAGUUUGGUCCUGACUUUACUGUCAACUCUAGCCUAAUUUACACAUGCAAGUCUCCGCUCUCCCGUGAGAAUGCCCUUAAUGUCCUGAAAGGAAUUAAGGAGCAGGCAUCAGGCACGCCUAACGCAGCCCACAACGCCUUGCUCAGCCACCCCCCUACGGGUAUUCAGCAGUGAUAAAAUUUAAGCCAUAAGUGAAAACUUGACUUAGUUAAGGCUAAGAGGGCCGGUAAAUGCUCGUGCCAGCCACCGCGGUUAUACGAGCGGCCCAAGUUGACAAAAAACGGCGUAAAGCGUGGUUAAAAAAAUGUUAAAACUAGAGCCGAACAGCCUCAAAGCAGUUAUACGCACUCGAGGCCACGAAGCACAAUUACGAAAGUAGCUCUACUCUACUUUGACCCCACGAAAACCACAAAACAAACUGGGAUUAGAUACCCCACUAUGUGUGGCUGUUAACAUCGAGGGCCCGAUACUCUGACCCUCCGCCCGGGGACUACGAGCACUAGCUUAAAACCCAAAGGACUUGGCGGUGCUUUACCCCCCACUAGAGGAGCCUGUUCUAGAACUGAUAACCCCCGUUGAACCUCACCAUCCCUCGUUUAACCCGCCUAUAUACCGCCGUCGUCAGCUUACCCUGUGAAGGUCAAAUAGUAAGCAAAAAUGGCUAAGCCAAAAACGUCAGGUCGAGGUGUAGUGAAUGGGAUGGGAAGAAAUGGGCUACAUUCUCUGCUUCAGAGAAUACGAAUGGCAGCCUGAAAACCCUGCCUGAAGGUGGAUUUAGCAGUAAGGGAGGAAUAGAGUGCCUCCCUGAAAACGGCCCUGAAGCGCGCACACACCGCCCGUCACUCUCCCCAAAUAAUUAUUAAUAUUACCUAAAAUGUUUUACCAAACGAGGGGAGGCAAGUCGUAACAUGGUAAGCGUACCGGAAGGUGCGCUUGGAUGAAC